rnacentral:lncRNA from 1 species
CAUUUUUAUCCUUUCUCGUUCCAGCAUUCCAAGCAUAUGUGUACGGCCAUCCAGUAGACCAAACACAGGUGUACAGUCCACCAAGACUCCAACUAACAUGGCACUGGGACCUAGCUGUCCAUUACUUGUAGUGAUGCCCUGCUGUAUUUUUGAUUUCAGAGGUCAGAGAAUGGGGACAGAGCCAAGCUUAUGGCUGAGAGCUAGAGGACAGAG